AUUGAACGCUGGCGGCAGGCCUAACACAUGCAAGUCGAGCGGAUGAAGGGAGCUUGCUCCUGGAUUCAGCGGCGGACGGGUGAGUAAUGCCUAGGAAUCUGCCUGGUAGUGGGGGAUAACGUCCGGAAACGGGCGCUAAUACCGCAUACGUCCUGAGGGAGAAAGUGGGGGAUCUUCGGACCUCACGCUAUCAGAUGAGCCUAGGUCGGAUUAGCUAGUUGGUGGGGUAAAGGCCUACCAAGGCGACGAUCCAUAACUGGUCUGAGAGGAUGAUCAGUCACACUGGAACUGAGACACGGUCCAGACUCCUACGGGAGGCAGCAGUGGGGAAUAUUGGACAAAGGGCGAAAGCCUGAUCCAGCCAUGCCGCGUGUGUGAAGAAGGUCUUCGGAUUGUAAAGCACUUUAAGUUGGGAGGAAGGGCAGUAAGUUAAUACCUUGCUGUUUUGACGUUACCAACAGAAUAAGCACCGGCUAACUUCGUG
rnacentral:rRNA from 1 species